GAGCGCCGGAUGACGCGAAAGUGUCAAGUCCGGUGCGAAACGGGGGAAAAGGGCUUCCGAACGGCAUAACCAUUUCCGGUAAUGUGCGAGGAAGACCCUUACCUAUCGUUGU
rfam:Desulfotomaculum acetoxidans DSM 771, complete genome.